rnacentral:misc_RNA from 1 species
GAUGAAGAACGUAGCGAAAUGCGAUACGUAAUGUGAAUUGCAGAAUUCAGUGAAUCAUCGAAUCUUUGAACGCACAUUGCGCCCGCUGGUAUUCCGGCGGGCAUGCCUGUUCGAGCGUCAUUUCAACCCUCAAGCCCCCGGGUUUGGUGUUGGGGAUCGGCUCUGCCCUUCUGGGCGGUGCCGCCCCCGAAAUACAUUGGCGGUCUCGCUGCAGCCUCCAUUGCGUAGUAGCUAACACCUCGCAACUGGAACGCGGCGCGGCCAUGCCGUAAAACCCCAACUUCUGAAUGUUGACCUCGGAUCAGGUAGGAAUACCCGCUGAACUUAAGCAUAUCAAUAAGCGGAGGA